UACGGGGGGGGCAAGCGUUGUUCGGAAUUACUGGGCGUAAAGGGCUCGUAGGCGGCCAACUAAGUCAGACGUGAAAUCCCUCGGCUUAACCGGGGAACUGCGUCUGAUACUGGAUGGCUAGAGGUUGGGAGAGGGAUGCGGAAUUCCAGGUGUAGCGGUGAAAUGCGUAGAUAUCUGGAGGAACACCGGUGGCGAAGGCGGCGAUCUGGGUAGAUACUGACGCUGAGGUGCGAAAGCGUGGGGAGCAAACAGG
rnacentral:rRNA from 1 species